CAUACCCUAAUUAUUGAAGGGAGAAAUUAUGUAGAAAUCCAUGCUUAAUUGAAAUACACGGAGGGGUAGAGUUGUACUUUUCACUCAAUAGAUUGGAUCUGAUCAUUUUACCAUUCACUUCCUUCUUCUUCCCAAUUUCUUUGAGUUCGUUAAUAUCCUUCUCCCCUUCAAAUUCUUAUCGAUCAAAAUCAUUUAUCAAUCUUCAUUUCAUAGCUUUUCAACAAAAUCCCCUAAUAAUCGCACUCAUCAUCAAGAAAACGAAUGGAUCGGUACUCAGAAAACCCCAAGCAUCGACAAAACCAUAGGAUUGAAAAACUGUAGCCUUUAGUUCGAGUUUUAGCUGCGAAAAACAUUAGAGGUUGCAGCUUCAUCAUAAAUUAUCGAUGGUUCAACUGAAUCAUAUUCAGAUUGCAGACAAACUAAAUGCUAACCUGCAUAUGCACUAAUUGAACAAUCUAUGGAGUUUGCAAAAUAUAAUUGAGGAAAGCAUCUUAACAUGGUGCAAGAAGGGAUGCAAGGGAAUGAGGAUUAUUGAUUGACUUGAUAAAAUAUUUGCAAGACUUUAAUCGUUAUUAAGAGUAUUAUUCUCUUUGAAUGUUGGCUAUAUUUUAUAUAUUUUGAAAAAUAUGUAUGGUUGAAUGUUUGAUAAACAAUAGUUAUGAUUUGAAGGUCUGAAGAUAAGUGGAAGUUUAAUAAAACAAUAUUUAGGUUGGACAAUAGUUAUAUGUUAAAGAAUAAUACAUGUAAUGUAAUGAUAGUAAUAUCCUUCACAUAUUAGUUGAGUUUAAAUUCAAAGGUUGUACGAAUAAUAUUCUAUUAGAAUAAUAAUUUAUGUUUUCUAUUA